CAGGACAGGAAGCGCAUCAAAGGUUUGUUCUCUUGGUAGUGCAAGCAACUGAGAGACGUGAAUUAUUUCUGAAAACGUGAAACGCCAUGUCAUUAAUAAGACGUAUUCAUUCAUCAAACCGGCUUUUGUCGAAAAGUGUCUCCGUCCUGUAUUUAAAGUCACUGCUGUUCAGACACUGUAUUCAUGGGGUGAGUCAUUGGGUGAAAAGCUGUGUUUGUGCAACGCGUGAAAAACAGAGGUCAGAACAGAAGGGGUAGUCCUCCUGGCUUUUAUUUGGAUUGAGGGCAGAAAUGAAACGCUGCAGUGCUGAUGGAGGUACAGGUGGAGGUUGUUUACUACUCUGAUCUUGGGGCAGCUGAGUCCGAAGCAAAAGUAAAAGGUUAUCUAAUCUUCUCCAGGUUUGGGUAGUGACUGCAGCACUCUGAGCAGAGAAUCCCAGACUUCCCUGACCCUGGCCACCUCUUCCAGCUCAUCAGAGAGGACACAGUCUUUCCCAACAUGUACACAUUAUGCUUACGUGUGGACGACUUUAAUGCACAAGGCUAAGAGGCAGGCAUGACCCUGGAUUCACAUGCACGAGCCUUGCUAAUAGAUUCACGGAGAUGGAAUUAGAGGAAAGUAGUUGCAGGGAGGGAGGUUUUAACAUGAUUUGUAACAGGAUCAAACUGCAUUUGCAUUGGAAUUGACAACUGAAUUUGCAUCACUGACCAAAACAUUCAAGUCCAAUCUUCUAAAUAUAUAAAUUCAUUUAUAAAUGGUUGUUCUGUGAUGUACGUUUAUUGUCCCAGUGUUAGCUGUAUAUAUGUCUGCGUGUAGAGCUUUUAUGACCAUUUAUACAAUGCUAAAAUAAACAUUGUGUGAUUGGUGUUUAUCUGUGCAUAUGAGCACAAAAUAAAGUAUCCCAGUGGUAUAGUAGCACUGAAAUUUAAUUAGCUCAUGGACACUUUUUGGCAAUAGCCUCUACUCUGAUCCUUACCAGAUGUACCUGACUCCUCAGACUAUCAGAUAUUUUACUCUCACCUUAGGAAACUCACAGGCUUGAUGGGUAAUUUUCAAUGCUCACUAUACAGUUAUUUUUCAAGCUGUUUGGAGAAAUCCAGGAAUUAAACUGACAGCUCGACAAAUGAACAAAUUCAACAUAAAUCUGACUUCCUGACCUUCUUGGCUUCGUAAAUUUCUGGCAACAUUCAUCGGGCACCAGUUCAAGAACUUUAAGCACUGCAGGAUUACCAUGGACAACUCGGUGCUGUCAUUUAAGUUUAAUGUAUAGAACCUUUUUUGAUAGGUAACUAAAACCAUUAAGGUAGCAAUUAAACAGUCUUCACUUUUUGUCAUGAGCCUUAGACUGCAUUGUAAAGAGAACGAUCCACUUCAAUAAAAGACAGAAGCUGAACAGCUGAACGUCCUUUGUUAAAUACCACAUAAUAAAUUCAGUCCACCAACCAAAGUUGUUGCAUAAAUGUGUAAACCCCCUUACCCUCAUGUUAUCAGUUUGAGUCAAAUGGCGCACAACCACACACAAGUGCAAUCUGUCAGGAAGGUCACUUUACUAUUUCCAAGAUUUAUUUGCUUACAUUUAAUGUCUUUUAUUAUUUUCUAAUGUAAAUAGGUGCAGCUAAAAACCAAAGAAAAU
ensembl:lncRNA